UUUGCCUACGGGGGGCAGCAGUGAGGAAUAUUGGUCAAUGGGCGCGAGCCUGAACCAGCCAAGUAGCGUGAAGGAUGACUGCCCUACGGGUUGUAAACUUCUUUUAUAAAGGAAUAAAGUGAGGCACGUGUGCCUUUUUGUAUGUAUUUUAUGAAUAAGGAUCGGCUAACUCCGUGCCAGCAGCCGCGGUAAUACGGAGGAUGCGAGCGUUAUCCGGAUUUAUUGGGUUUAAAGGGUGCGCAGGCGGAAGAUCAAGUCAGCGGUAAAAUUGAGAGGCUCAACCUCUUCGAGCCGUUGAAACUGGU
rnacentral:rRNA from 1 species